rnacentral:rRNA from 1 species
UUGUCUCAAAGAUUAAGCCAUGCAUGUCUCAGUACAAACUCAAUUAAAGUGAAACCGCGAAAGGCUCAUUAAAUCAGUUAUGGUUCCUUAGAUCGUACCCACAUUUACUUGGAUAACUGUGGUAAUUCUAGAGCUAAUACAUGCAAACAGAGUCCUUCUCCGGUUCGUCCGGAAGGGAUGCUUUUAUUAGAUCAAAACCAAUCGGCGUUGGGGCGCUUAUGCGUGCGUCCUUUCGCCGCUCAAUUUGGUGAAUCUGAAUAACUUUACGCUGAUCGCACGGUCUCGCACCGGCGACGCAUCUUUCAAAUGUCUGCCUUAUCAACUGUCGAUGGUAGGUUCUGCGCCUACCAUGGUUGUAACGGGUAACGGGGAAUCAGGGUUCGAUUCCGGAGAGGGAGCCUGAGAAACGGCUACCACUUCCAAGGAAGGCAGCAGGCGCGCAAAUUACCCACUCCCGGCACGGGGAGGUAGUGACGAAAAAUAACGAUACGGGACUCAUCCGAGGCCCCGUAAUCGGAAUGAGUACACUUUAAAACCUUUAACGAUAAUCUAUUGGAGGGCAAGUCUGGUGCCAGCAGCCGCGGUAAUUCCAGCUCCAAUAGCGUA